AAAUAGGUAAGCUAAAAAAGCUAUUGGGUUCAUACCCCACUUAUAAAGGUCACUCCUUUCCUAUUUA
rnacentral:tRNA from 1 species